GACUGGCCUGAAGGUAGUGAGUUAUCUCAAUUGAUUAUUCAGUCAGUUACAGAUUGAACUCCUGGUUCUACUCUUUCCCUCCUUCUCACUACUGCACUUGACUAGCCCUAA
ensembl:misc_RNA Y_RNA Y RNA